AGCGAACGCUGGCGGCAGGCCUAACACAUGCAAGUCGAACGGAUCCUUCGGGAUUAGUGGCGGACGGGUGAGUAACACGUGGGAACGUGCCCUUUGGUUCGGAACAACUCAGGGAAACUUGAGCUAAUACCGGAUGUACCCUUCGGGGGAAAGAUUUAUCGCCAUUGGAGCGGCCCGCGUCUGAUUAGCUAGUUGGUGAGGUAAAGGCUCACCAAGGCGACGAUCAGUAGCUGGUCUGAGAGGAUGAUCAGCCACAUUGGGACUGAGACACGGCCCAAACUCCUACGGGAGGCAGCAGUGGGGAAUCUUGCGCAAUGGGCGAAAGCCUGACGCAGCCAUGCCGCGUGAAUGAUGAAGGUCUUAGGAUUGUAAAAUUCUUUCACCGGGGACGAUAAUGACGGUACCCGGAGAAGAAGCCCCGGCUAACUUCGUGCCAGCCGCCGCUGUAAGAC
rnacentral:rRNA from 1 species